rnacentral:rRNA from 1 species
CCUACGGGCGGCAGCAGUGGGGAAUAUUGGGCAAUGGAGGAAACUCUGACCCAGCAAUGCCGCGUGAAUGAAGAAGGUCUUCGGAGUGUAAAGUUCUUUAGUCAAGGAAGCAGUCAAUGACGGUAGCUGAAGAAUAAGCUCCGGCGAACUACGUGCAAGCAGCCGCGGUAAUACGUAGGGAGCACGCGUUGUUCGGAAUGACUGGGCGUAAGGGGUGCGUGGGCGGUUGUACAAGUUAGAAGUGAAAUACCCAGGGCCUAACUCGGGUGCUGCUUCUAAAACUGUAUGACUUGAGUGCAGGAGGGGUAAGCGGAAUUCGUGGUGUAGCGGUGAAAUGCGUAGAUAUUAGGAGGAACACCGAAGGCGAAGGCGGCUAACUGGACUGCAACUGACGCUGAGGCACGAAAGUGUGGGGAUCAAACAGGAUUAGAUACCCCGGUAGUC